rnacentral:piRNA from 1 species
UAAAAUUUUCUGUGUGGCCACGCUUGUU